GACUCGUGAUACUGGCUCAGGUCAUGAUCUUAUGGGUUCGUGGGUUCAAGCCCCGUGUCAGGCUCUGCACUGGCCGGCGCGGUGCCACCAACUCGAGUUUGCCCCUCCCCAAGUCGUGCAUGUGCGCGCUCUCGCUCGAAAUAAAGAAAUCAGCUGAAAAAUAAAUCAAGUCCAGGAAGAGAAGGUAAGAUAGGGCUGCCGCUGGACCCACCAACCCAACGGGCCUGCCAGGGGUCAGGAAUCUGGGACAGGCCCCCCAGUGAGUCAAUACCAAUUAUACUUGGAAGCCUUUUACGUUUCGGUCCCUCCCUGGACCUUCCCGCCUAGCCCCGGACACCCAGCUGCCCCCUGGGCCUCACUCGGGGGUGCUACAACGGUCACUGGGGCCAGUCACCACCAUUCUCGCUUUCCCGCCCGGCACAAGGAAAGAAACCACUGCCCCACCCACUUGUGUGGCCAUGUGACUUGCUUUGGCCAAUGAAAUGUGAGCAGCUGGCUAUGACCCGUGUCACUUCCGGGCGGAAGCUUUAGAAGCCGGUGCGCCGCGCUGAUUUCUUUUCCUUCUGCUACAGCAACCUGCCGGGUGCCGUGCGGUGGCCGAGUGGGAAGGUCUCUCACCAGACUGCCAUCCAGGUGGCAGCUAGGGCUGUGGUCUCAUCUGAAGGCUCCAUCAGACGCAAGCUGGGGAGGCAGAGAGCGGACGGACAGAGGAUCCGAAGGAGACUCCGCACUGCCAGCAGCGAGCCCGGUGUGGGGCUUGAACUCAACGAACCUCGAGAUCGUGACCUGAGCAGAAGUCUGACGCUCGACCACCGAAACCACCCAGAACUGGUGUCCUUAUAAGAACAGGAAGAGAGACCAGAGAUCUCUUGCUCACUCUUCACACACACAGAGGCAUGGCCAGGUGAGGAGGCGGCGAGAAGGCAGCCGUCUGCCAGCCGGGAAGAAAGCCCUCAGCGGGAAGGGAAUCUGCCAGCGCCUUGACCUUGGACUUCCAGCCUCCAGAACUGUUGGACUGGCUCCAGAGGCAGCCCCUGAGAGCAAGUGGCCCCAGGAAGCACCAGGAGGGACAAGGGGAAGUGAGAGAAGGAAGGGAAGAAGACAAUUUCGGGUAGUGGUAAGUGCCGUGAGUAACAACCAUAAAAAUUAGAGGAAGCAGCCGAUGAGGGGCCGGAGGGUGGCACGCCUGUCUGAGAUAGGGACGGCCUCUCAAAGGAGGGGACGCGUGAGCAGGGACAUCAUGAGGCGAGGGAGGGACCCACCCUGGGGAAAGACGGUUCCAGGCAGGGAAGCAGCAGGUGCAAAGGCCCGGAGGUGGGUGCAGGCUUGGAGAGUGGGAGAAUCUGAUGUAGCUGAAUGGAAGGGGGGGGGGAGUGAGGGGGAUGUGACUAGAGAUCAAGAACGGAAGGAACGGGGAAGAGUUUGUAAGAAAGGGAAGGAGAUGGUAACCGAAUCCGGGCCCAAUUCUUGCGUGAGGAAGGGCAAGAUGUGCCUGAUGCACCCGCGCUGACUUAGUCAGGCCUUGUGUCAGUUACCUGUAGCCCAUUGUGCUGUGUGACAGACAACCCCCCAGUCCAGCGGCUUAGACAAUCGGCCUUGAUUAUGGCUCACAGUCUACGCAUCAACCGGACAUUUCUUCUGGCUGGGCGCAUUCAGGAGUCUUUGGUCAGCUGGGGGGCCGGAGGACACUCUUUAUUCACCCAGGUUGGGCCCUGUCACAUGUUUGGGGUUCGGCUGGCCGUAGGUUGGUCUAGGAUGGCCUCGGCUGGGACGACAGGGCUCGCCUCGAUGUGCCUCGGCCGGCUGGCCCGGGCUCCAGUCAGGUGACAGAGGCAGGGUAGGUGGUGAGGGCAUCGACCUGAGUCCAUGUGGCAGUCAAUCUACGCCAGCUGCAUUACGUCUCUGGGACUUUUGAUUAUCACCCCCGUCCCUCUCUGGUUCUCCCAAGAUCCUACAGUCUUUGACUCCAGCUCCAGCCCCUCUAGAAUUCUUCCCGCCCAAGUUUGUCCUCUUAAGGUCCCAAAGGAGCUGUAGCCUGUGUUGUUCACAACCUCAAAUUUCUGGCGAGGCUCGCUUUCCUCCUCUGCUUUGGGGCAUGACUGGAGCUGAAAUUCAUUAUUGAAAUAACUGACUCUCUUCAUAGCGAACUGUGAGUUGGUGUCAGCCACAGCAGGGCAGAGGUUGGUCCAUAGGGUGCCCCUGAGCAAAGGAGAAAGGGGCACUCACAGCAUGGCUUGAGCACACGCUGUGCCCCCUUGUGCAGUGUCCAGCCUGCCCAACCAUACCAGCCUGCCCUGAUUAUGGGAGUGGAGAGGAAGAGGGAAGAGAGAAAGAAGGGGAAAGGGAUUCCACUGGGAUCCAGGGCACCAUUUAGCCUUAGCACUCUGGCCAAAGGAAGAACCUUCCUCAAAUGGAUGAGGGACCCAGUGGGGAGCCAGCCCAGCAAGCCAGGAUGGGCACCCAGACAGGCAGCCUACUCUUCUAGUGGACCAAGGCUGGAUCAGGCCCUGUGGGGGAGGAGGAAGAGAAGAAGGGAAAGGAAGAGGGUAGAAAGGUCCCAGUUGAACAUACUCCCCACCCCCUUGCUGUAUCCCCAGGAAAUAAAGUGCAGCUGGGUUCUUGGUUGCCAUAGUGACUGCCACACAAAGAAUUUGGGGGGAAAAACACCCCGGGGGCAUGAAGAAGCAAUUUGCUCUCAGCUCUGGGAGGCAGGGGGUGGAGGGAGGACACAGGGAUGGGGAUCGGAAUCUCCUGGGGAGAAAAAGUUAAGAGAGGCCUGCCAGGGUAGGUGGUGUCGGGGAGCCUGGAACCUUCCAUGCCCCCCCCCACUUCUGCCAGUGAUCCAAAAGAAGAAUGGGUGGAGGGCCCCCCCAGCUCUGGUGUGGGUGCUUCCAAAUCCCAGGCCCCCCUUCCGGGGACCAACUGGGCAGCUGUGAGCUCCCCAGUGUCCACAGGGGCAGGACCUCCAUGUGGAUUUUUUUUUUUUUUUUUUUUUUUUGAAUUUCUAAUUCCACCUCAGGACAAGGCACUAUCUGGGGCAGUGCACAGGCCUGACACCCCUCAAAUCCUUCCUCAAACUCAGGAAAGGGCCCGGCCUCACUGCCCAGCCCCUCCCCCCUCCUCCUUGGCUACACACGGAGAGGUCUACAUAUCCCGGGCUGUGGGGAGGAGGGUGGAUUGGAUUUAACCCCCCCCAGAGGGAACCUGCAGCCUGGUGUUCCUCCCUCCAGCUUCUCUAAACCUCCAAGAAAGCAGAGAAGGCACGGUGUGGUGGCAGCUGCAUUUUUUUUUUAAUCUGUUAAUAAAACCGCAAGUGAAUCAAAUCCGCUCGAAGGGGAAGGGUGGGGGGGGGGGUGCAGUGCAGCGAGGCAGGGGCCAUGGUGUUUGCAGAAGUUGGGAAUUUAAUAAGAAGGGAAAAUAAAAAUAGCCACUGUGCCGGAGACACAGAGAGAGGGUUGGGAGACGUAGGCGGGUGUGGGACUCCAGGCUGGGUGGAAAGCAUGAAGAAGAAGAGACAGCCAGAGGGUCCCAGAGUCUGGAGAGGCAAGGGGGGUGGGCACAGCUAGGGGCAACAGGAAAGAGGGGACUUGGAGUACCCACCAAAACAGCCCGAUUCCCUGGCAGGUUUUCCGCAGGGGUGAGCGGACCAGAGAGGUUAGGGAUUGGCAGUCUGAAAGCCUAGGCGAGGAGGGGCAGCUCCUGGUUCCUUGGUCUUUGAGCUGGUCAGGAUACGCAUCACACUGUUAGGGCUGCCAUGAACAGCUGUGCACGUGGCUCACUGCACAAGAAUGCUAGAAAGAAGCCAGAGCAAGGGCUGAUAUCAUCUCUUCCCCUCACCGCGCUCUUCCUCUGCCCCGAAGAAAGGGUGCCUUUUAAGGAUCCACAAUAAAGGUGCCAACACCCUAAAUGUCCAUCACCAGAGGAGUGGAUGAACAAAUGUGGUCCAUCCAUACACUGGGAUAUGAUUCAGCCGUAAAAAGGAGGACCGAUCUUGACACACGCUACAAUGUGGAGGAAACUUGAAAGCGUUAUACCCAGUGAAAGGAGCCAGACACGACAGAGCACACGUGACCCGAUUCCAUUUACGUGAAAUGUCCAGAAUAAGUAAAUCCACAGAGACAGAAAGCAGACGGGUGGUGGCCAGGGGCUGGGAGGAAAGGGGAAGCUGGGGAGCGACUUAAUGGGUGCCGGUUUCCUUUUGGGGUGACGGGGAUGUUCUGGAACCAGGUAGAAGUGGUGGCCGCACAACGUGGUGAAGGUGCUAAAUGUCCCUGAAGUGUAUUCUUCAAAAUGGUUGAUUUUGUGUUAGGUGAAUUUCACCUCAGGAAAGAAAGAAGGAAUGAAGGAGGGGCAGAGAGGGGGAAGGAAGGAAGGAAGGAAGGAAGGAAGGAAGGAAGGAAGGAGAAGAUCCACAUAAAGACGACAGCAGGGUCCCUGCACAAGACUUAUCACACCCCGUCUACCCCCAGAAAGCCCCGGAGUGCCCACAGCAGUCCAAUUCCAGAGCAGCUUUGGAAUGCAUUCAUUCAUUCGUUCACCAAGAAUUCACCGAGUGUUUAUUUCAUGCCAGGUGCUGUGCUGGGCGAUGAAGGGGGUACACCCCUGCCCCAGGGCUGACACUCCAGUGAGGUGGUCAGACCGACCCAGCAAACGCAGCCUCCGGUACAUUAGGUGGGGGUGCGUGCCCGCUCUAGAAACAACAAAACCGCGUGGGUGGGGCAGGCGGGGGCACUGUGCGCGCUUUUAACCGGGUGUCCUCACUGAGGAGGUGACAUCUGAACAAAGCUCCGAAGCAGGCAAAGAGGAGUCACGUGGUUUGUGGAGGAAGAGCAUUCCAGGCAGAGGGAACAGCCAGUGCAAAGCAGGGAGGCUUGUUAUCUGCAAUGAGUGAGGCUAAACGUGGGUUGUUGCGCAGGAGUUGAGGUUCUGCUAGAGCCUUCCCCCCGCCCCCACCCCAGUUCUGACUUGGAUGAGGCACCAGCUGGACGAAGGCAUAGGCAUGAUCCCCAUCACCAACCCCCCAAGUCAGAAGUCUUGGAUUUCUAUCAAGAGUUGAUGAUCUCCGAUGUUUACCAGAGGCAAGGCAAGGGUCACAGUAGUACGUCCUAGAAAGUACUUAUUACGUGCUCCACACUAUCACAUUCACUGAUGUAAUCCCCAGCGGCAUCGAAAAUGGUAUAAUCUCUACUUUCCGGGUGGGGAAACUGAGGCACGGACCGAUGAAGUGGCCCGGCCAAGUGAGCAAGAGGCAGCUGUGAGUUUGAACCCAGGAUGGCUUUCUGCGGAUCCAGACGAACAAGGAUCUGGGAGUUUCUCUCGAGGCCGCACCUUGAAGGGUUCGGAGGCCUCCAGGCCUGUUUUUGAGUUGCCGCUGGGCCCGGGGCUCGCAGACGGUGGAGGGUCCCAGGUGAGGGGUGGCUGUCAGCAUCGGCGGGUGAUUGAUGGUUUCAUCGCUCGCCCCGUGACCCUGGCCCUUCUAGCCCACGCUGCGCGCUGAGGCAGGCGGUCCCUGGCGAGAAGCGGAGAUGGGGUAAUUUGGUUACCGUAAAGAGAACGAAAAUUCCAGAGGGAGACAGAGAGAGCGAUGCGCCGACCGGGGGCGAAAUGGGAGCCGGUUAGUCUGGGCUCGGAUGGGAGGGAGGAGGCAGAUCCCCAGUCCUUUUGGGGGUCGGGGCCCUGACAGCUCUCCGCCCCUCUCCAGCCUCAUCUGACUUCCUGUCUUGAGAAUGGAGAGGGCAAAUGCCAUGCGUGAGAGGCCACAGGGCACAGCCAAGGCCUAAGAGGCGAGGGCAGCAUGUGGCCUCUACCUGAACCAUCUGAGGGGGACACAGGAGCGAGGCGGGGGCUGGUGGAGCAGGGGGCUGGAGAGGGCUGGGGGCUCCAGGUACCGCGGUCAGAAGCCUCGUGUCAUCCUUGACUUGACUCCUUUCUCGCUCUCUCUCCACUCACAUCCAAACCUGGGACUUCUGCCCACCUCCGCGGCCCCGCCGGGUCCAGCCCAGCGUCGCCCUCCUGCCCCUGCUGUCGCGUCCGGCCUGGUCCCAGGCUCCUGGUCUCGCCUUGCGGUCUCUUCCCCCCUCGGCCCCCAGGGGGCGCAGGACCUGCUCUCUGCUCAGCCUUUCUCCCCGCUGAAACCGUCAUAUGCUUGCGGCCGGAGUCCCAGCACCUCCUCCAGGCAGCCCUCCUGGAAACACCCUGUAUUUUGAUCUACCAGAGCAGUCACCAGCCCCUUUCUUCUGCCUUCCACGGGUCACAAAAGUCCAGGGGACCCACAACAGAUUCUCCAGAACAUCCUGCCAAUGUUCUUCCUUCCCUGGCUUGAAGUGAGGGGGGGCGCCCGGCUCUGACCCUUUUCUCCUGAUGGGGAGAGCAUGAAGCUCACAGCACAGCCUCCUCCGGAGAAAUCCUCAUAAAACCCUCUCCAAACCUGCCUUCUUCCCCAAGCCUUUCAGACUCCGCUCACGCUGAGUCUUGAAACCCAUCGGGAGCCUUCGACUUUGGAAACGUUCACUGUGGUCUGGUACCUCUCACUGGACACUAUAUUUAUUUAUUUGGGGCCUGAAUGAAAAAGUCCAUUGUAGCAUCCUGUUACUCUAGUAAUAUCCAGUU